UAGCAUAUCAAUAAGCGGAGGAAAAGAAACUAACAGGAUUCCCCUAGUAACUGCGAGUGAAGCGGGAAAAGCUCAAAUUUAAAAUCUGGCGGUCUUUGGCCGUCCGAGUUGUAAUCUAGAGAAGUAAUGCCCGUGCUGGACCGUGUAUAAGUCUCCUGGGAUGGGGCGUCAUAGAGGGUGAGAAUCCCGUCUUUGACACGGACUACCAGUGCAUUGUGGUAUGCUCUCAAAGAGUCGAGUUGUUUGGGAAUGCAGCUCAAAAUGGGUGGUAAAUUCCAUCUAAAGCUAAAUAUUGGCGAGAGACCGAUAGCGAACAAGUACCGUGAGGGAAAGAUGAAAAGAACUUUGGAAAGAGAGUUAAACAGUACGUGAAAUUGCUGAAAGGGAAACGCUUGAAGUCAGUCGCGUUGGCCAGGGAUCAGCCUUGCUUUUGCAUGGUGUACUUUCUGGUUGACGGGUCAGCAUCAAUUUUGACCACUGGAAAAGGGCCUGGGGAAUGUGGCAGCUUAGGCUGUGUUAUAGCCCCUGGUCGCAUACAGUGGUUGGGAUUGAGGAACUCAGCACGCCGCAAGGCCGGGUUUCGACCACGUUCGUGCUUAGGAUGCUGGCAUAAUGGCUUUAAGCGACCCGUCUUGAAACACGGACCAAGGAGUCUAACAUGCCUGCGAGUAUUUGGGUGGAAAACCCGAGUGCGCAAUGAAAGUGAAAGUUGAGAUCCCUGUCGUGGGGAGCAUCGACGCCCGGACCAGAACUUUUGGGACGGAUCCGCGGUGGAGCAUGUAUGUUGGGACCCGAAAGAUGGUGAACUAUGCCUGAAUAGGGUGAAGCCAGAGGAAACUCUGGUGGAGGCUCGUAGCGAUUCUGACGUGCAAAUCGAUCGUCAAAUUUGGGUAUAGGGGCGAAAGACUAAUCGAACCAUCUAGUAGCUGGGUUCCUGCCGAA
rnacentral:rRNA from 1 species